UACGUAGGUGGCAAGCGUUGUCCGGAUUUACUGGGCGUAAAGGGCGUGCAGGCGGUCUGUUAAGUUCAGGGUGAAAGCUCCCGGCUCAACUGGGAGAGGUCCUUGGAUACUGGCGGACUCGAGGGAGGCAGAGGAAAGUGGAAUUCCCGGUGUAGUGGUGAUAUGCGUAGAUAUCGGGAGGAACACCAGUGGCGAAGGCGACACACUGGGCCAUUACUGACGCUGAGGCGCGAAAGCGUGGGGAGCAAACAGG
rnacentral:rRNA from 1 species